AAAACAUGUGCAUUUUUAGGAUGACAAACAACUUGAAAGAACUUAUCAUUGGAAACAUUUCAGGCAUUAAGUCAAACAAAACAAUCAUAAAGAUAUGAACAAUAUAAAGUUAAUUAAAAUAUAAUAUACAGGCAAGUGCUGUAGUCCAAAAAAAUAUUUGUGUGUGUGGUUUGUCUGAACUUGGCCAGUGGGAGAUUUGGCAGGAGGUGGGUCCCAGUCAUUGAGUCCACACAAACAUUGGAUAAUGAAAUCUUGUAUAACAUGGGAACAUCAAAACGACAUAAUGCAGACAUGUUGGAUGAACAAUUGACAACAUAUAUGAAUACAAACAUUUGUGUUAGUGUGACGUUUUAAGUGAAUACUACACAAAACAAUCAAAUGGCAGGAGUUGCAGUCGUGUUGCUUGAACCAAGAAGAUAUAAACUCAAAUCUUAAUGAACACAGACUAACUGGUCUUUUACUAAGACGGACAAAAUUCUAGAGCAUAAUCAGUUUGAACAAACUCAUUCCAGACUACAUCAACACUAUGUUGGCAGAUAAAUACUUCACUUUAAAAAAAAUGAUUCGUUACCACUUUGAACAAAUUGUAAAAUGUUUAAAUAUUGUGUUUAAAAAAAAACAGCUUGACAAUGAUCACAACAUUUUGACAACAGCUCUCACCCCUGCUUGCUACUGGGACUUAAGGCAAGGUUUGCAUAGAUGUUUGUAAUUUGCAUGGCUGGGAAGUAAAAAUAGAUUUUCUUUGCUUUCAAGUACUGUACAUGUAAGCUACACAGAAUACAAAAAUAAAACAUGUGAUUCUUUGAUGAUACUUUAUGUUAGUAAUAUCUUGCACAAAGUGUGCAAUUUAAAAUAGAACACUUACAAAGAUGAACAGAUUUAUAUAACACUUGAAGGAAACAUCUCAGCGAUGUCCUCAAUAUUUGAACGUGAACCAAGCCAGAGAGUCAACCUAACCACGUCUGCUGUUACAUGGAAAUAAAUAUUUGUUCUGUUCUAAUAGUCGUUGUAAGAAAUGGAUACUGAAAUCUGGGUGUUAACAGAAACGCUGGAACUGUAGAACAAAAUAAUUGCAAUAUCUAGUGAACACUUGGUCAGAACAUCAGCAAAGACUGAACAUCACCAGCUGGCACACAAUACAUUUCUGGAGAGAGAGAGAGAGAGAGAGGGCGGGGAGGGGGAGACAUCCAUAUAAAAGGUAAUAGAAAUGUAAAAUAGUCAAAAUCUAUUAUAGCCAUCACCCAAGUUAUUGAUUAUAUCAGGGUCUCUAAAUCCCAGAAGAGAUGAACAACACUUUUAUAUAUCAAAUCAAAACUGUAUCAUGACAUUCAAAGUAUAGUGGUUACAGGUCACUCAACUGUGUUAAAUGCAUGCAAGAGUCGAUAUCAAAAACAAGAUUAAAAAAACUAUGCAGUAAGUUAAAUGUUAUACAAAGCAAUCACAACAUACCAUCACAAAAUAUUUAGGCUUCUUUCUACAAAACGGAUAAUUAUAACAAUAAUUUACAAUCUUUGUGUGCCCUUCCGACCAAAGACAAAAAAAAUUGUGCUUGUGCUUCCAACUGAUAUUGUAGAUUAGAGACUUGAGAAUCUAAAAAUUUUCAGUUAAGUUCAUAUACAAAACUACACCAUCAGAAGAAAGCAUUACUUUUCAUCACAUAAGACAUUUUGAUAUAUAUAUGUAACAAACUUUUGAAUCAACAAAAUAAUAAAUACAAAAUCUAAUACACCACAUCUAGAGAAAUAUAACCAAAAAAAAUUCACAUUUUAAAAUAAAAUUUCUGGCAGUUAUUAAAAAAACAAAAUAUUUAGUCAAUUCUUGUUACAUAAAAACGACUCAUGAUGUUUUAAGUCCAAUGUGCAUGCUGCAUCAAGUUCUACAUAAAAGAUAUGACUGUUAAAAUAGUCAAUGUAUGUUUCAUCUUUUAUGUACAAAUCAAUACAAAUCUUCUUCAAAAUAAAAACAACAGUGCUAAUGAGUUUGAGAUACAAAGAAGAGAUUCAAAUUCUAGAGGUCAAAGAUCUAUAUAGCCCAGCAAUCUAACAAUCUCCUCAUGCUAAAUGCAAACACAUUCUCUCAACACUGAAACACUGGUCUAGUGAAGCUUAAUGGUUCUUUGCACCAAUUUAUCUUACAGGAACUGUAUUUAUCUUAUAGGAACUGUAUAUAUCUU